UGGGGAAUUUUGGACAAUGGGGGAAACCCUGAUCCAGUCAUCCCGCGUGUGCGAUGAAGGCCUUCGGGUUGUAAAGCACUUUUGGCAGGAAAGAAACGUCAUGGGUUAAUACCCCGUGAAACUGACGGUACCUGCAGAAUAAGCACCGGCUAACUACGUGCCAGCAGCCGCGGUAAUACGUAGGGUGCAAGCGUUAAUCGGAAUUACUGGGCGUAAAGCGUGCGCAGGCGGUUCGGAAAGAAAGAUGUGAAAUCCCAGAGCUCAACUUUGGAACUGCAUUUUUAACUACCGGGCUAGAGUGUGUCAGAGGGAGAUGGAAUUCCGCGUGUAGCAGUGAAAUGCGUAGGUAUGCGGAGGAACACCGAUGGCGAAGGCAGCCUCCUGGGAUAACACUGACGCUCAUGCACGAAAGCGUGGGGAGCAAACAGG
rnacentral:rRNA from 1 species